rnacentral:rRNA from 1 species
UACGUAGGGUGCAAGCGUUGUCCGGAAUUAUUGGGCGUAAAGAGCUCGUAGGCGGUCUGUCACGUCGGCUGUGAAAACCCGGGGCUCAACCCCGGGCCUGCAUUCGAUACGGGCAGACUAGAGUUCGGUAGGGGAGUCUGGAAUUCCUGGUGUAGCGGUGAAAUGCGCAGAUAUCAGGAGGAACACCGGUGGCGAAGGCGGGACUCUGGGCCGAUACUGACGCUGAGGAGCGAAAGCGUGGGGAGCAAACAGG